rnacentral:rRNA from 1 species
UAGGGAAUCUUCGGCAAUGGACGAAAGUCUGACCGAGCAACGCCGCGUGAGUGAAGAAGGUUUUCGGAUCGUAAAACUCUGUUGUUAGAGAAGAACAAGGACGUUAGUAACUGAACGUCCCCUGACGGUAUCUAACCAGAAAGCCAAGGCUAACUACGUGCCAGCAGCCGCGGUAAUACGUAGGUGGCAAGCGUUGUCCGGAUUUAUUGGGCGUAAAGCGAGCGCAGGCGGUUUCUUAAGUCUGUUGUGAAAGCCCCCGGCUCAACCGGGGAGGGUCAUUGGAAACUGGGAGACUUGAGUGCAGAAGAGGAGAGUGGAAUUCCAUGUGUAGCGGUGAAAUGCGUAGAUAUAUGGAGGAACACCAGUGGCGAAGGCGGCUCUCUGGUCUGUAACUGACGCUGAGGCUCGAAAGCGUGGGGAGCAAACAGG